GGGAACCGCCGUCGACAGGGGUCCGAGAGCACGGAGCCCUCUGUCUCUUCUUUUCGUGUUUUUUUUCUCCUGAAUUUGGGAGUUUCACGAGUUCCGGCGUGUUGCGGCCUCUCCCUGUUCUCGAAUUUUGUGUGCGUUCGGCAAUUCUAGCAAGACUCUGCUGGUUACCAUGGUGUCGUAAUAUUCUUCUUGUUUGGUAUUGUUCAGCAAUGGAGGUGCUGUCGGCUAUGUGUUUUGUUCUUGGCUCCUUGACGCGGUUGUCUUGGGUUGAUUGAGUGGGCUCAGUUGCAACACCAAGGCGGCAGUGUUGCAGCUGCAGUUGGCAACAUUGCUAAUCGGUUGAAAAUUUUAUAUACCGACAUUUCCCUAGUUCUAUCUAUUUUUGUGUAGUUUCUCAGCGGAGAUGUAGUCGUUUGCUGGGUUGUUUGUGUUCGCUCUUGCAUCAAGAGAUCUUGAGGGCUGUCGCUAUUUAUUUACUUAUUGCAAUUAUUGUUGCAGCGCAGUUUUUGGGCUCAGCGGCAGUUGAUGCUGGAAGUACUGACCUUCUUGUGGUGGACGGUGCCCUCUCCUUAUUAGACGUAUUACUGAGGUGUGUGCGGCGGAGGUGCUGCUCAGUUGUAGGGUGUGCUACAGAGAAUUUGUGGCUGCGCAUCCUUCCUAGUUUUGUUGUUGUAUCGCCGACAACGAUAGGUGGUAAUUGGCUCCAAGCUCAGUUCUUGUUUUGAUUCCUGCUCGGGUGGAAGACAAUUCCUGGCUUUUCUUGAAUUUUCUUGUAUUGAUGUCGUCGUUUGGCGGUGGCGUUGAUCUUCCGCACUCCAGAGUGUUCAUGGUUGCAACGGCUGAGAAGCUAAGCGACCACUCCCUGUUUUGUUACAAGUGAUAGAGUUGCGGUGGAACAAGGGUGUUGUCCCCGUUCGUUCCAACUUUUCUUAAUGCUGCAGUGGUGCUGGAAUUUCCCGUGCAUCCUUCCUUGCGCGCGGAAAAUUGGUUGUGGAGCGCACGAUGCCUGCCUUAACAACUGUGGAUUCAAAAUUAGACUACAAUCAAGGCUUUGAACCGGAAGAGGUGAUUGAAAGGAGAAGAGAAUCGACUCGACCCCGUUCUAUACUUUCGUGGCCUAGUGUUGGUUAUUGGGUGGUCAUGAGGUUGUUCAUGCUACUGGUGUAGAGUAGGUUUAAUCACCAGUAGGAGAGCGUUGAGCCGAAGUGAGCACUUGAGAGCAAGGUUGUUCCAUCAUUCCGGCACGAGAUUGCUAUCACCAUAACUGCCAAUCAAGCCUUCCUACCGUUGUCAGUGUUUUUGUGCAUCAGAGGAUCCACACCAAUGCUAUUCUGAACUAAAAAUUUGUGAGUUCUUUGUGCUAAAGGAAUAAGCAUCUCAUAAUAUCAAGCAAGAUUAGUUAUGGCUUUUUGUAA